CAAUGACACAAUUUAUUCCAAAGAAGGCCUGGUAGACGUCUUGAAAGUCUAAUAUCGGGAGCUCUGUCAUGCUUCUUGAGAAAGGUGAUGCUUCUCAGAAGGGUGCAUCCUUCCCCAUGAGUCACCUGGGUACAUAUCCAGCCCAGGGCUCCCAGCAGCUACACCAGAUCUGCGCAUUGGAGGUGGAAAAUAUCUGUGUCUGAAUCUGUCAGUGCUAACAAAUAUAUGCAUCGAACUCAUUGAUAACAACAGUCUCUUCAUAGAGCAUGACCCAGAUGUACACUUAUA
rnacentral:lncRNA from 1 species